rnacentral:rRNA from 1 species
UAGGGAAUAUUAGAAAUGGACGCAAGUCUGAUCUAGCAACACCGCGUGUGCGAAGAAGGCCUUCGGGUCGUAAAGCACUUUUUGGAAGGAAUAGGAAGGAAUGUACUUCCAGAAUAAGUCUCGGCUAACUACGUGCCAGCAGCCGCGGUAACACGUAGGAGGCAGACGUUAUCCGGAUUUACUGGGCGUAAAGCGCGUGUAGGUGGUACUGUAAGUAGGGCGUGAAAGCUCCUGGCUCAACUGGGAGAGGCCGUUCUAAACUACAGAACUAGAGGAUGGUAGAGGGAGGUGGAAUUCCAGGUAUAGCGGUGGAAUGCGCAGAUAUCUGGAGGAACACCGGUGGCGAAGGCGGCCUCCUGGACCAUUCCUGACACUCAGACGCGAAAGCUAGGGUAGCAAACGG